UACGUAGGGACCAAGCGUUGUUCGGAUUUACUGGGCGUAAAGGGCGCGUAGGCGGCAAUUCAAGUCAUCUGUGAAAUCUCCGGGCUUAACUCGGAAACGGUCAGAUGAUACUGCUUUGCUAGAGUACAGAAGGGGCAAUCGGAAUUCUUGGUGUAGCGGUGAAAUGCGUAGAUAUCAAGAGGAACACCUGAGGUGAAGACGGGUUGCUGGGCUGAUACUGACGCUGAGGCGCGAAAGCUAGGGUAGCAAACGGG
rnacentral:rRNA from 1 species